AUUCUACUUCCAGACCCAUACAAAAAACACGUAUUUCUUGGUCAAGGUCUUCUCUGUGAAAAUUCUCCAAAAAAGGCCUCAAUGCUGUGUUCCAAUAUGCAGAAAUCGACAGGAAACCUGUCCCGAGUUAUCUUUCUUCAGAUUUCCAUUGAAAGAAAAGGAAAGAAACCAGUACCUACAGCUCAUAAGGGGCACUUGAGCUCAACGAUAUAGCUGGGAGCGAUGAUUCAAUCCGGUGAAGCUCCAAGAACACCACUUGGAGAGAGUACAAAUCCUGCUGGAGAUACAGGCUGGCCAGUGAUGCGUGUAUACUCCGCAAGAGCAAUAGGUUCAUGAAGGAUCUCCCAGUCCACAGCCUGAAAAAAAAGUUAUGCUCAAUAUGGAUUCAUCUUAUGUGUAAUAGAGUUUAGCGAACAUAAAAAUGGUUUAAAUCUUUAA